rnacentral:hammerhead_ribozyme from 1 species
AGCCAGAUGAUGAGUCCUAAAUAGGACGAAAUACACAUCUUGGAU